rnacentral:rRNA from 1 species
GAUGAACGCUGGCGGCGUGCCUAAUACAUGCAAGUCGAGCGAACGGACGAGAAGCUUGCUUCUCUGAUGUUAGCGGCGGACGGGUGAGUAACACGUGGAUAACCUACCUAUAAGACUGGGAUAACUUCGGGAAACCGUAGCUAAUACCGGAUAAUAUUUUGAACCGCAUGGUUCAAAAGUGAAAGACGGUCUUGCUGUCACUUAUAGAUGGAUCCGCGCUGCAUUAGCUAGUUGGUAAGGUAACGGCUUACCAAGGCAACGAUGCAUAGCCGACCUGAGAGGGUGAUCGGCCACACUGGAACUGAGACACGGUCCAGACUCCUACGGGAGGCAGCAGUAGGGAAUCUUCCGCAAUGGGCGAAAGCCUGACGGAGCAACGCCGCGUGAGUGAUGAAGGCCUUCGGAUCGUNAAACUCUGUUNAUUAGGAAGAACAUAUGUGUAAGUAACUGUGCACAUCUUGACGGUACCUAAUCAGAAAGCCACGGCUAACUACGUGCCAGCAGCCGCGGUAAUACGUANGUGGCAAGCGUUAUCCGGAAUUAUUGGGCGUAAAGCGCGCGUAGCGGUUUUUUAGUCUGAUGUGAAAGCCCACGGCUCAACCGUGGAGGGUCAUUGGAAACUGGAAAACUUGAGUGCAGAAGAGGAAAGUGGAAUUCCAUGUGUAGCGGUGAAAUGCGCAGAGAUAUGGAGGAACACCAGUGGCGAAGGCGACUUUCUGGUCUGUAACUGACGCUGAUGUGCGAAAGCGUGGGGAUCAAACAGGAUUAGAUACCCUGGUAGUCCACGCCGUAAACGAUGAGUGCUAAGUGUUAGGGGGUUUCCGCCCCUUAGUGCUGCAGCUAACGCAUUAAGCACUCCGCCUGGGGAGUACGACCGCAAGGUUGAAACUCAAAGGAAUUGACGGGGACCCGCACAAGCGGUGGAGCAUGUGGUUUAAUUCGAAGCAACGCGAAGAACCUUACCAAAUCUUGACAUCCUUUGACAACUCUAGAGAUAGAGCCUUCCCCUUCGGGGGACAAAGUGACAGGUGGUGCAUGGUUGUCGUCAGCUCGUGUCGUGAGAUGUUGGGUUAAGUCCCGCAACGAGCGCAACCCUUAAGCUUAGUUGCCAUCAUUAAGUUGGGCACUCUAAGUUGACUGCCGGUGACAAACCGGAGGAAGGUGGGGAUGACGUCAAAUCAUCAUGCCCCUUAUGAUUUGGGCUACACACGUGCUACAAUGGACAAUACAAAGGGCAGCGAAACCGCGAGGUCAAGCAAAUCCCAUAAAGUUGUUCUCAGUUCGGAUUGUAGUCUGCAACUCGACUACAUGAAGCUGGAAUCGCUAGUAAUCGUAGAUCAGCAUGCUACGGUGAAUACGUUCCCGGGUCU